GACGAACGCUGGCGGCGUGCCUAACACAUGCAAGUCGAACGGGGUAACUCCUUCGGGGGUUACUUAGUGGCGAACGGGUGAGUAACGCGUGAGGAACCUGCCUCUCAGUGGGGGACAACAGUUGGAAACGACUGCUAAUACCGCAUAAUGUAGCGAGACCGCAUGAUCUUGCUACCAAAGCUUUAUGUGCUGAGAGAUGGCCUCGCGUCUGAUUAGCUAGUUGGUGAGGUAACGGCUCACCAAGGCGACGAUCAGUAGCCGGUCUGAGAGGAUGAACGGCCACAUUGGGACUGAGAUACCGCCCAGCCGCCUACGGAAGGCAGCAGUGGGGAAUAUUGGGCAAUGGGGGAAACCCUGACCCAGCAACGCCGCGUGAAGGAAGAAGGCCCUCGGGUUGUAAACUUCUUUUACCAGGGACGAAGAACGUGACGGUACCUGGAGAAAAAGCCACGGCUAACUACGUGCCAGCCGCCGCGGUAACAC
rnacentral:rRNA from 1 species